ACGGGAGGCAGCAGUAGGGAAUAUUGGGCAAUGGACGCAAGUCUGACCCAGCCACGCCGCGUGAAGGAUGACUGCCCUAUGGGUUGUAAACUUCUUUUGUAUGGGAAGAAACCCCCGAACGUGUUCGGGGCUGACGGUACCAUGAGAAUAAGGAUCGGCUAACUCCGUGCCAGCAGCCGCGGUAAUACGGAGGAUCCAAGCGUUGUCCGGAUUCAUUGGGUUUAAAGGGUGCGUAGGCGGGGAAUUAAGUCAGUGGUGAAAGCUUACAGCUUAACUGUAAAAAUGCCAUUGAAACUGAUUCUCUUGAGUUCGAUUGAGGUAGAUGGAAUGUAUCAUGUAGCGGUGAAAUGCUUAGAUAUGAUACAGAACACCAAUUGCGAAGGCAGUCUACUAAGUCGAUACUGACGCUGAGGCACGAAAGCAUGGGGAGCAAACAGGAUUAGAUACCCUGGUA
rnacentral:rRNA from 1 species